UACGGAGGGUGCAAGCGUUAUCCGGAUUCACUGGGUUUAAAGGGUGCGUAGGUGGGUUGGUAAGUCAGUGGUGAAAUCUCCAGGCUUAACUUGGAAACUGCCAUUGAUACUAUCAAUCUUGAAUACCGUGGAGGUCAGCGGAAUAUGUCAUGUAGCGGUGAAAUGCUUAGAUAUGACAUAGAACACCAAUUGCGAGGGCAGCUGGCUACACGAAUAUUGACACUGAUGCACGAAAGCGUGGGGAUCAAACAGG
rnacentral:rRNA from 1 species